rnacentral:other from 1 species
GUAUGCCUGUGGUGCCCGUGAUUAGUCAUACAAUGUUUUGAACCUACUAAAAUUUCGGGAUCUCAAUAUUUGUGAUUAAGGAUCAAGCUCCCUCGAGGAGAAGAUCUGAUAUCAUAUGCGGGAACCCACCUGGUUCCAGGUUCUAAAACUUUGGCUACACGGCAUCUACGGGUAUUUA